CGUAGGUGGCGAGCGUUGUCCGGAAUUACUGGGCGUAAAGGGCGUGUAGGCGGCCUUUUAAGUCAGAUGUGAAAUCUCAGGGCUUAACCCUGAAACUGCAUUUGAAACUGGAGGGCUUGAGGAUCGGAGAGGGCAGUGGAAUUCCCAGUGUAGCGGUGAAAUGCGUAGAUAUUGGGAGGAACACCAGUGGCGAAGGCGACUGCCUGGACGACACCUGACGCUGAGGCGCGAAAGCUAGGGGGAGCAAACGGGAUU
rnacentral:rRNA from 1 species